rnacentral:rRNA from 1 species
GAAAUGCGAUAACUGGUGUGAAUUGCAUCUAUGUAACUCUAAUUUACGGAUAACACCAAGUGAAUCAUCGAGUCUUUGAACGCAAUUGCGCCCUCUCGGUCGCUUCCAAUUGGGGGUUGACUCAUAGGGGGUACGUCUGUUUGAGGGUCAUUUGUACCUCUCAAAGGAUGAGUUUAAACAUGUUUAAGCUGAUUCUUUGGAUUUGGGUCUUGCUGUGAAUGUUAUCUCAGCUUACCUUGAAAGCAUUAGCAAGCUUUUUCUGAGUCUUUUCUUGAUGAGGCGUUCUAAUGUUUUAUGUCUCAAAGAAAAUGGACAAGGUUCUAAGCAUGCUUCUAACCAUUGGGUCUCUAUAUUUUUCUCAAUGACCUCAAAUCAGACGAGACUACCCGCUGAACUUAA